UUCGUAGGUGACCUGCGGAAGGAUCAUU
rnacentral:rRNA from 1 species